rnacentral:rRNA from 1 species
AUUGAACGCUGGCGGCAGGCUUAACACAUGCAAGUCGAGCGGGGGAAGGUAGCUUGCUACCGGACCUAGCGGCGGACGGGUGAGUAAUGCUUAGGAAUCUGCCUAUUAGUGGGGGACAACAUCUCGAAAGGGAUGCUAAUACCGCAUACGUCCUACGGGAGAAAGCAGGGGAUCUUCGGACCUUGCGCUAAUAGAUGAGCCUAAGUCGGAUUAGCUAGUUGGUGGGGUAAAGGCCUACCAAGGCGACGAUCUGUAGCGGGUCUGAGAGGAUGAUCCGCCACACUGGGACUGAGACACGGCCCAGACUCCUACGGGAGGCAGCAGUGGGGAAUAUUGGACAAUGGGGGGAACCCUGAUCCAGCCAUGCCGCGUGUGUGAAGAAGGCCUUAUGGUUGUAAAGCACUUUAAGCGAGGAGGAGGCUACUUUAGUUAAUACCUAGAGAUAGUGGACGUUACUCGCAGAAUAAGCACCGGCUAACUCUGUGCCAGCAGCCGCGGUAAUACAGAGGGUGCGAGCGUUAAUCGGAUUUACUGGGCGUAAAGCGUGCGUAGGCGGCUUAUUAAGUCGGAUGUGAAAUCCCCGAGCUUAACUUGGGA